rnacentral:sRNA from 1 species
GCUGGGUGUGGUGGCGCAUGCCUAUAAUCCCAGAGUCUGGGGAGGCUGAGGCAGGAGGAUCGCAAGUUUAAAGCCAGCCUCAGCAAUAGUGUGGCACUAAGCAACUCAGUGAGACCCUGUCUCUA